UAAUUCUUUGUAUGAUAAAAUAAUCAAUAAUUCAAAAAUAAGUAAGAAGUAUGGGAUUUACUUACCUUUUCUAUCCUAGCCUUUCAAACUUCACUCAACGAAUUUAUCAAAUCUAUUUAACAUAUUAAAAAUAUAAUUAUUUUUUAUUUGAUAAAUUUAAUCAUAAGAAAAGAAGAUUAUAGAUUGGAUGGUAGGUCCAACGGGUUGUCCAGGCAUCAAGACAAUUUAGAGUCUUCUGGCUAAGGAUCAGAUUUAAAUGACUCAAUCAAGGAAUCAUGAAGUACGGAUUAGAUCAAGACCA
rnacentral:lncRNA from 1 species